GGUUGUGAUCAUACCAGCACUAAUGCACCAGAUCCCAUCAGAACUCCGCAGUUAAGCGUGCUUGGGCGAGAGUAGUACUAGGAUGGGUGAACCCGUGGGAAGUUCUCGGGUUGCAACCCC
rnacentral:rRNA from 1 species